GGAGACUACUUCCAUGGAACUGCAGGGAAGGACGAAGGCCUGCGUCUCUUCAUCACUGUUCGCGAUUUCUUAGUUAUGUUGGAUAAAUCAUGUACAUUGUUGAGAAAAUCCACCAAGAUGCCAGCAAACACCUCUAGAAAAGGAGCGUUAACAGUAUCACCUUCUCAGGAAGCCCGUCCAGAUUCUUUGCCGGAGGUUCAUCAACGACUAUUUCCUGCAAUCCAGGAGCGACGGAUGGAUGAUGAUUUUAGUUCAUCAGAUGAUGAGAGCUCAUCCAAAUAACUUAUUUUUGUGAUGCUCUUCAAAAAAUAUAUAA
rnacentral:misc_RNA from 1 species